rnacentral:rRNA from 1 species
AGAUCCCUUCGGGGUGAAGAUGAAAUGGAUUAGCGGCGGACGGGUGAGUAACACGUGAGUAACCUGCCUUAGACAUUGGGAUAGCCUCGGGAAACCGGGAUUAAUACCAAAUGAAAUCACAUAUGCACAUGCAUAAAUGAUCAAAGCUCCGGCGGUCUAAGAUGGACUCGCGUCCCAUUAGCUAGUUGGUGAGGUAACGGCCCACCAAGGCGACGAUGGGUAGCCGGCCUGAGAGGGUGAACGGCCACAUUGGAACUGAGAAACGGUCCAAACUCCUACGGGAGGCAGCAGUGGGGAAUAUUGCACAAUGGAGGGAACUCUGAUGCAGCGACGCCGCGUGAACGAAGAAGGCUUUCGAGUCGUAAAGUUCUUUUAUAUGGGAAGAUAAUGACGGUACCAUAAGAAAAAGCCCCGGCUAACUACGUGCCAGCAGCCGCGGUAAUACGUAGGGGGCUAGCGUUGUCCGGAAUCACUGGGCGUAAAGGGUUCGCAGGCGGAAAUGCAAGUCAGGUGUAAAAGGCAGUAGCUUAACUAUUGUAAGCAUUUGAAACUGCAUAUCUUGAGAAGAGUAGAGGUAAGUGGAAUUUUUAGUGUAGCGGUGAAAUGCGUAGAUAUUAAAAAGAAUACCGGUGGCGAAGGCGACUUACUGGGCUCAUUCUGACGCUGAGGAACGAAAGCGUGGGUAGCAAACAGGAUUAGAUACCCUGGUAGACCACGCCUGUAAACGAUGAGUGUUAGGUUCUUGGAAUAAU